AAAUAGUUGGCGUAGGGAGCGUAUAUGAUUUCGGGUCGUAAGGGAAAUGUAAAGUUUACUAUUUG
rnacentral:tRNA from 1 species